CCUCAAGGGGAAUUGAAAAGCGGCUCCGGAGACUCAGCCCUGACAGUCCCGGGGCGGCCAGGGCGCCACCUGCUGGCUUUGGAGGAGGCAGCCGGCUGAUCCCCGCUCCUCUCCCGAACCCACAGUGAGGCCAGAGGUUCGAUAGUCCCACGUCCGGCGUGGCUAGGAAGCCGCAGCCCAGGCUCCUCCGCUCCCUGGGCCCCAGAGCUGGACCGAAUGGUCCCCCAGUGUCGCCGCCGGAGCGGUAGGAAAUCUGGAUGCUAGAUCUGGAUCUUGGCCACCCGGGGAACUGCUCUGCGACACAAAGCCGGCGGCUUGCAGGCCUAAAAGAUUUAGAGAAUUUAGGUUAUCAGGGAUUUGCAGUGCCUUCCCAAAGAGGAAUCUGCAUUGAACUCCUUGGGCACUUGGCUGACACCUAAUGAAUGCUGAGGUCAUUUCCCCCUGAGAAUCUGCCUUCCACCUUCUGUGCCUUGACUUGCAUAAUGAGAUGAAACAAGCCAGAGAAAUCCCAUGUUGCUUGCUCCAUGUAACACAGGAUUAUUUUAGGACCAAAACAUUUAGGAGAAGAAUGAAUACAUCUCAGAAACUCCAGGACCAGGGCAGUGACCUUCAUUUCUGGGACAGUAGGUUCAUUCUGGACCACAGAUAUUCACUAAAUGACUUCUAUGUGCCUGGCACUGUGACAACAACUGGAGACAGAAACAGUGUGGCCUCCACUCUCAGGUGCUUAUGCUGUUCUCUGGGAGGGUCUUCAAAAGACAGACAGCGGCCAGGCAUGAUGGUGGUACACACCUGUAAUCCCAGCACUCAGGAGGCUGAAGCAGGAGGAUCACUGUGAGUUUGAGACCAGCCUGGGCUACAUAGUGACUUCCAGGUCAGUCUCAACUACAUAGUGAGACCCUGUCUCAAAAAAAAAAAAAAAAAAAGACAGCCACCAGUCUCAGCAGCCAUGCUGCAAAGAAAGGAGAGGAGGCUCCAUUUAGAUGAUGCAUGGACAAAGAUGCAUGAAACCAGUAAAUAAAACAUGAUGUCAUCCACAGCACCCCUACUCAGAGCCCAAGUCUGUUCAUGGCCACCCUGUUGACUUGCUGUGUGAUCUGGAAUAAACCCAUCCCUCUCUGAUCCUCCCCACAGCCACAUCUGGGGAGUGAAGAGGGCUAGCUCUGUCUUCUCUGAAGACCUUUGCAACUCUAGCUUCUAUGACUCCCCCUUCCCUUCUUCCGCCAGUCCUGUCUCCAAGGCAGACAUGGGCAUGCACAACUGGUUGAAGCCGUCACUCCUAGGCAAGAGGGAGAGGAUUCUGUGGCAUCUCACUCUACCCUCCUCAGGCUAAAACCAGCUGGUAGAAUCCAACUUUGCCAACACCAGCUGUGUGACACCAGUCAAGUUACCUAACUUCUCUGAGCCCCCUUGUCUCUAAAAUCAGAAGUAUCACAGUGCCUAAUUUAUACAUCUGCUAAAAGGACCAAAUGAGCUACUCAUAUAUUCACAGUGUGCUUGACACACUGUAAUAUUCAGUAGACAUUAAUAAUUAUUAUUCUGGGGUUUUGGUGAGAAAGGAAAUUAAAAAACAGCAC
rnacentral:lncRNA from 1 species